ACAUAUAGCCAUAGCACCCUGACAACACCCAAUCUCAUCUGAUCUGGGAAGCUAAGCAGGGUCGGCCCCGGUCGGUACUUGGAUGGGAGACCAUGAAGGUCAAUGGGGGGGAUUAGAA
rnacentral:rRNA from 1 species